AGGAGUUUGAUCCUGGCUCAGAACGAACGUUGGCGGCGUGGAUUAGGCAUGCAAGUCGAACAAAUGCCAAGGGGGUAACUCCGAGGCGGAAGUGGCGAAAGGGGCAGUAAUGCAUGGGUAACUUACCCUGGAGUCAGGCAUAGCCGUCCUAACGGACGGGUAAUUCUUGAUAGCCCAGCGAGGUGGCAUCAUUUUGCUGGUAAAGAAUUUCGCUCCGGGAGAGACCCAUGUCGUAUUAGCUAGUUGGCGGGGUAACGGCCACCAAGGCUAAGAUGCGUAGCAGGUGUGAGAGCACGACCUGCGCCACUGGCACUGAGACACUGGCCAGACACCUACGGGUGGCUGCAGUCGAGGAUCUUCGUCAAUGGGCGAAAGCCUGAACGAGCGACGCCGCGUGCGCGAUGAAGGCCUUCGGGUUGUAAAGCGCGAAAGUGGGGACGAAGCCGAAAGGUUGACCGAUCCACAGUAAGCUCGGGCUAAGUUCGUGCCAGCAGCCGCGGUAAGACGAACCGAGCGAACGUUGUUCGGAAUCACUGGGCUUAAAGGGCGCGUAGGCGGGCAUCAUAGUCUGUGGUGAAAUCCGGCAGCUUAACUGUCGAAUUGCCAUGGAUACUGGGUGUCUCGAGGGAGGCAGGGGUGCGCGGAACUAAUGGUGGAGCGGUGAAAUGCGUUGAUGUCAUUAGGAACUCCGGUGGCGAAGGCGGGCACUGGUCCUCUUCUGACG
rnacentral:rRNA from 1 species